rnacentral:rRNA from 1 species
AGCGAACGCUGGCGGCAGGCUUAACACAUGCAAGUCGAGCGGGCAUAGCAAUAUGUCAGCGGCAGACGGGUGAGUAACGCGUGGGAACGUACCUUUUGGUUCGGAACAACACAGGGAAACUUGUGCUAAUACCGGAUAAGCCCUUACGGGGAAAGAUUUAUCGCCGAAAGAUCGGCCCGCGUCUGAUUAGCUAGUUGGUGAGGUAAUGGCUCACCAAGGCGACGAUCAGUAGCUGGUCUGAGAGGAUGAUCAGCCACAUUGGGACUGAGACACGGCCCAAACUCCUACGGGAGGCAGCAGUGGGGAAUAUUGGACAAUGGGCGCAAGCCUGAUCCAGCCAUGCCGCGUGAGUGAUGAAGGCCCUAGGGUUGUAAAGCUCUUUUGUGCGGGAAGAUAAUGACGGUACCGCAAGAAUAAGCCCCGGCUAACUUCGUGCCAGCCGCCGCGGUAA